AUUGAACGCUGGCGGCAUGCUUUACACAUGCAAGUCGAACGGUAACAGGUUAAGCUGACGAGUGGCGAACGGGUGAGUAAUGCAUCGGAACGUGCCCGAUCGUGGGGGAUAACGCAGCGAAAGCUGCGCUAAUACCGCAUACGAUCUGAGGAUGAAAGCGGGGGACCGUAAGGCCUCGCGCGAUCGGAGCGGCCGAUGUCAGAUUAGGUAGUUGGUGGGGUAAAGGCCCACCAAGCCGACGAUCUGUAGCUGGUCUGAGAGGACGACCAGCCACACUGGAGCUGAGACACGGCCCAGACUCCUACGGGAGGCAGCAGUGGGGAAUUUUGGACAAUGGGCGAAAGCCUGAUCCAGCAAUGCCGCGUGCAGGAAGAAGGCCUUCGGGUUGUAAACUGCUUUUGUACGGAGCGAAAAGGUCCUUUCUAAUACAAGGGGCUCAUGACGGUACCGUAAGAAUAAGCACCGGCUAACUACGCGCCAGCCGCCGCCGUAACAC
rnacentral:rRNA from 1 species